rnacentral:hammerhead_ribozyme from 1 species
GUACUGAUGAAGAGUCCCAAACUAGACUGAAACGAAACAGCCGUCCAGUAC